GAGUGCAAGUGAAAGCCAGGAUUCUCCGGCGAGCAGACGGGCUGGGGUCACGUGAAUGUUGCACGGGCGGCUUUUUUUCUUGGUUGCCUCGCAUCGCUCAGCUGUGCCUGGGAGUAGGAGGUUUGGCAGCGUGGGACUUGUCAGCGAUGAAGGAUGUACCAAGUAAAACAUCGUCUCUCAUUUCACAGUCAAGUCUGUUUCGCCACCAGCCCAGCUGGUGUUACACCGAGCUGCAGCAAGCGGAAACAUCACAAGGCUUCGUUAGUCUGAAUUAUGGGGGCAUCAGAUGAUGCAUUUUAUGUGUACUUGGGGAUCAUAACGUGAACAGCCUGAGACUGGAACCAGUGAAUCGGCAGCAAUGUAGAACUGAUCUUCAGCAGUUCCAAUAAGUCUUUUGGUCAUGGUUCCUAAUCACAUCUAACCACAGUUUCAGACCUUUAAUGAUUUCAUCCAUUCUCUUCUGCUUUCAACUGCAUUUCUCUCCUAUAAAUAACGUAAGCCAUUUACUUUUACUGCUUUUUCCCCUUCCUGCGCUUCAGUUAGAAGCCAGUGACCAGCUCAACUGCUACCGACUCCUUUUUGAGAAUGUUCCAUUAAUUGAAGGUUAAUGGAAUUGAAAUUGUGUCU